UUCUUUCCUCUCUAGUUCGGUGUUGAUGCUGCCUCACUUUUCACGGAAACAAAUUGUUUCGGUAUGAGUACAAAUUUAGACCAAUCCCCAGGAACCUUGUUUGUUGUCAGGAAAAGAAUCCUGGCAGGCAGCUGUGGCUUUUAAAAAACUCUCCACGUGUUUGCGUAUCAGAACUGACAGGCACAGGUGACAGCAGAUGAGCUUUUAGAGACGUAGUAUAGUGUGACGAAUAAGAGCACAGACUCUGGACCCAGACUGUCAGGGUUUAACCCCCAACCCUAACACCUAUCCCUUGGGUGAUGUUGGAAGCUAUGAAAUUACAAUGCCUCAGUUUUCUCAUCUGUAAAUAGGAGUGAUGUUAAUGGAUACCUCAUAAUGUUAUUGUGACAAUUGAAUGAGUUCACAUCUCUAGAAUCCAACUACUUACCAUCUCCAUUACUACCUAUCAAGGUGUUGAGUCACCAUCAUCUGUUUAUGGAUUUCAGCCUCCUAACUAGUCUCCCCAUCUCUACCCUUGUCCUACCACACCAAGGUCUAUUUCCCAACACAGCAGAUAGACUUAUCAUUGUCUGAUGAUGCAAGGAUUACAGCGAAUCCACAUGGAUACCUCACAGGAUUGGAAGUGCACUGGUGGGGUGGUUACCCUAGAGGAAAUAACACAUGACCACACAAAGCCUUCUACAGGAAUGUUCACAGAAGCGUUAUUUAUAAUAACCAAAAAGUAGAUAGAACCCAGGUGUUCAUCAAUCAAUGAAAGGAUAAACAAAAUGUGGAAUAUAUAUACAACAGAAUAUUUGGCAAUAAAAAGAAAUUAAGUGCUGAUACAAACUACAGCAGAGAUAAUCCUCAAAAGCAUGUGAAGUGAAAAAAGUCAGUCAGGAAGACUACAUAUUGUAUACCACGUAUAUGAAAUAUCCAGAAUAGGCGUCAGAGUGAAGCCACGCCCCUUCCUCGUUUCCUAGCAACCAACUCCACCACCAUUAGCUUGCUUCCUUAAACCUCUCUCUGUCGUCACUUCCGCUCUGAGACCGGAAUGAGGUCAGAGCCGGCAGCUUUCCCGGGAGUUCGGCGUUUGUGUCUGCCUCAGCUGGAGAAGUGUUUCCCUGGAACUGGCGGCCUCCCGUUCUAUCCCGAGUCCCACCUCCCCUCCUGGUGGUGAGGCCCUCCAGGAGUCUAGAGGCCUUCGAAGGUCCGGAGAUCCGCACGAGGGGAAGGCGAGGCCCAGGAACGCGUGGCUCCCCGGGCAGAGUAGGGGGCUGGCGGGGGCAGCUCCCGGGGUAUCUGUGGAAUCGCUUCAGCUUGGCUUCGUUCAUCUGCGGCACGUUCCCCCUUCUCCGCUGCGGGCCACCGUGGUUUCUGGAGAUUGGCAUUUUUCGGCGUCCCUCCUCCAACGCCCCACCUCCUGCUUUUGAAGGAAGAUCCUUCAUACAGAAGACUUGCCCGGCUGCUGACCCCCAAUCUCAGACCCUGAAGUGACCCGUCAUGACCUCAGUGUGAGCUAGUGACCAACUUGUGACACUUUACAGAGUCCUGGGGUAAAUAUUUAUAUGUGCGCA